rnacentral:rRNA from 1 species
UGAGGAAUAUUGGUCAAUGGGCGGGAGCCUGAACCAGCCAAGCCGCGUGACGGAAGAAGGCGCUAAGCGUCGUAAACGUCUUUUGCCGGGGAACAAAGGCGCGGACGCGUCCGCGUGUGAGUGUACCCGGAGAAAAAGCAUCGGCUAACUCCGUGCCAGCAGCCGCGGUAAUACGGAGGAUGCGAGCGUUAUCCGGAUUUAUUGGGUUUAAAGGGUGCGUAGGCGGCCCAUUAAGUCAGCGGUAAAAGCCCGGGGCUCAACCCGGCGAGCCGUUGAAACUGGGGGGCUAGAGACGGCGAGAAGUACGCGGAAUGCGCGGUGUAGCGGUGAAAUGCAUAGAUAUCGCGCAGAACUCCGAUUGCGAAGGCAGCGUACCGGCGCCGGACUGACGCUGAGGCACGAAAGCGUGGGUAUCGAACAGGAUUAGAUACC